GCAAUUUUAGUGAAAUUUAUACGAUUCGUCGUACAGUACUGCGACGAUUGUUUAAUUCUUUCUUUAAAAAGCGUAAAGCUCGAUCUACAUGAAGCAAAACUGUAACCCAUUACUUUCGAUUGGUACUGUUUCGGUCACCGACAAGUACAGAGAACAGUCAGAGAUCAGAGUCGAGCGUUUCACCGAGUUCUACUGUUUUGUUAUUCGUUUGAACGUUAGAACUACCAAGCUCCAAAAGCUGUUUUCUAUUUCCUUUUGAAAAUAACAGGACUGGACAGGGUUGCCAAAGUCUGUCCGGUAGUUCCAGCGUUUUGAACGUUGCCCAACUCUGAUUCGUCUCGUCGACUGAACCGACACUAUUAUGUAUUUGUCGGUGUACGUUUCACGGGAUACAAUCAAUCGAAGUAUUGUGAACCAAAACGGACAAACGAAAUUAAUUAAUGAAAUCUUUAGAGAACGAAACAAAAAACUAGUCGAAAAUAGAAGAAAGCGAGCGAAAAGAUACGUACUACUCGGGUGGGUUUUGCGCUGUCGGCGGAGCUUGAGCAGCAGCUUGAAAACUCCUGCGGCGUGCUUUCCCCGAGGCCGCUGUCCACGUUACUGCCUAUCAAUAUUCUGUUGUUACGAGUAUAAUAAAAGUCCUUCCUCACAUUGCA